GAUGAACGCUGGCGGCGUGCCUAAUACAUGCAAGUCGAGCGAACAGACGAGGAGCUUGCUCCUCUGACGUUAGCGGCGGACGGGUGAGUAACACGUCGAUAACCUACCUAUAAGACUGGGAUAACUUCGGGAAGCCGGAGCUAAUACCGGAUAAUAUAUUGAACCGCAUGGUUCAAUAGUGAAAGACGGUUUUGCUGUCACUUAUAGAUGGAUCCGCGCCGCAUUAGCUAGUUGGUAAGGUAACGGCUUACCAAGGCGACGAUGCGUAGCCGACCUGAGAGGGUGAUCGGCCACACUGGAACUGAGACACGGUCCAGACUCCUACGGGAGGCAGCAGUAGGGAAUCUUCCGCAAUGGGCGAAAGCCUGACGGAGCAACGCCGCGUGAGUGAUGAAGGUCUUCGGAUCGUAAAACUCUGUUAUUAGGGAAGAACAAAUGUGUAAGUAACUAUGCACGUCUUGACGGUACCUAAUCAGAAAGCCACGGCUAACUACGUG
rnacentral:rRNA from 1 species